rnacentral:sRNA from 1 species
GCUGGGUGUGGUGAUGCACAUCUGUAAUCCCAACAGCUCAGGAGGCUGAGGCGGGAGGAUUUCGAGUUCAAAGCCAGUCUCAG